rnacentral:tRNA from 1 species
GCUCGUGUGGAUCAAUCACACCGCGCGCUGGACUCACAAUCCAGAGGUUGCUGGUUCGAAUCCCGCGGCGGGCG